rnacentral:lncRNA from 13 species
CCAGAGUGCGCAUGCACAGUAGUAAAACCGGGACACAGAGCAGAUAACUGGAGUGUCAUACCAUUCUGUUGGGGAGUAUCAUACCAUUCUGUUGGGAAUAACUAUUGGUAGUAAAGAGGUUUCAUUAUGGAUUUGAGAAGGGAUACCGUGGACAACAAUCCUGUGUUUCAGAUGUCCCUCAGUCGCCAUCAAGGAUGGAUCAAAGUGUCAGAACCAGAGAGCAACCUCUGUCAGGUGAAGUCCACAAAACAUAUUGCAUGUAACAAGACAGUUGUUACAUAACCUACAGCAUCGUCAAGCAAGACGUGA